GGAGUCAAAGAUGCAGUAGAAGAGGAAAGCAGAGGAGAGGUAAGGAAGGAGAGAGAUCAGAGAGAUGUGACACAUGAGAAGAGCUUAGCCAUUGUUGGCUUUGAAGAUGGAGGAGGCAGAGUGAGAGCCAAAAAAUAAGGGUGUCCUCUAAAAGCUGUGUGAGACCCGGAUGAAAGCCAGUAAGGAAACAGAGACCUCCAUCCUACAACCUCAUGGACCUGAAUCCUGCCAACAACCUAAAUGAGCCUGGAAGCAGAUUUUCACCCAGAGCUUCCAGUGAGGAAUACAGCCCUGCCGUCUUCUUGAUGUUAGCCCCAUGAGAGCCUGUCGAACUUCUGAUCUGCAGAAACUUGCGGUAAUCAAUUUUGCUGUUUUAAGCUGCCAAGUUUGUGGUAAUUUGUUACCGUAGCCAUGGAAAACUAGUAUCUCCUCUCACCUUGGGAUUGGUCCAUGCUGGUGGCCUCACCCUACCGCCUGCCUGGAGAACAAUCUGUCCACCUAAGCAGGACACCUUUUGUUUAUUAUGCAGAACAGAUUGGCUCUUCCCUGUGUCAGCUUAAUCCUCACAGAACACGUAACAGACUCGAAUAGCGCCUCAUCAUGGCCUCUCAACAAAACUCUCAGACCAAGAGGACCCAACGAGGGCUCUUCAUGGAUCAGAACGUUAUUGCUUUUGGCCAAAGCUAUUGCAGAACUGACAGUCACCGAGUCUUCAAAAUACAACAUAAGACGAAGGGCACUCAUUCUGUCCUGGGAGCUCCACCUUGAAAAAAGAAAAGAAGACCCCACUCCACCCACUGCUGACUCCUUCAAAGUGGAGAGACGACCUUUGACUCUUCAGCUCACCAUCUCCCCCACCCCUCAUAGACGCUCUGGCUGCAAGGGACACCUCAGCGACUGUUUCUUAGUGGGUCUCAUGCUGUCAGCCCUGCAAGGUAGAAGUUUUUUUCGAGGAGGAAACUGAAACUUGGGUACAAAUAGUUUACCCAAAGUCCCUCAACUGCCAAGUAUCAGAGCAGAGAUGGCUUCCAG
rnacentral:lncRNA from 1 species